UUGGGUUAAGUCCGUACGAGCGCAACCCUGUCCUUAGUUACCAGCACGUUAUGGUGGGCACUCUAAGGAGACUGCCGGUGGACAAACCGGAGGAAGGUGGGGAGUGACGUCAAGUCAUCAUGGCCCUUACGGCCUGGGCUACACACGUGCUACAAUGGUCGGUACAAAGGGUUGCCAAGCCGCGAGGUGGAGCUAAUCCCAUAAAACCGAUCGUAGUCCGGAUCGCAGUCUGCAACUCGACUGCGUGAAGUCGGAAUCGCUAGUAAUCGUGAAUCAGAAUGUCACGGUGAAUACGUUCCCGGGCCUU
rnacentral:rRNA from 1 species